rnacentral:lncRNA from 1 species
GUCUACCUUGUCACAUUCAUCUUGAAUAUUUCUGAGCGCCUGCACACGAUUUCUAACUGCCCGAGGCAGCUGAUCCACGAAACUUCUACCCGACGGAGCCCGCCGCGCCCUUCUGGAAGGCCCAGGUACCCUCUUCUUUCUAUAGAAACGGCUGCGGCUAUUGCUGCUGCUGCUGCUACUGCUGCUGCUGCAACUAGUGCUGCUGCUAGAGCUGCUGCUGCUGCUGCUGCUGUCAGAUUCUUCCCCAGAAUCGCUAGACGAGCUAGCCACCAUCUCUUCAUCCACCCCCUGGGCCGCAGCUCCCGAGACCCUGUUAGGAUCCGCUUCUGCCAUUCUGCAAGCCUGCAAACCGCUUAGCGUGGUGACUACCGCGCGCACAGAGAUGGGCCGAAAAUGACUCACGGAUGCUUGGGUGGCAGCGGUGGAGGUCGGGGCAGCGGCGAAGGCAGCAGGAGUGCAGGGCGGGGUGGGGCUGGGCUGAAGCCGCGGAGGCGGCAGCGACACUGGAGGCCUGAGCAAGAGCGGCAGAGGUAAGGGCUCUCCCGGCUGCAGCUGCUGCGGACCGAGGCGUGCCUCAGCCGAAUGGCGCAGUGCGAGACCCCGAGAUCUCUUCACUACUAAGAUAUUGAACCCCCCCCUCCCCUAGCCGUCAGACCUCCCGUUAAUUUCGUUCCCAGUGUGCCCUUUAGCUCUCACCUCAUUUGCUAGGCAUGCUUGAUCGACAAACCCUCAGGCCAAUGAGUAGCCAAAAGCACCGCCCCCUCCAGACUCCGCCCACCUUCCCAGACGCUCCUAGGUAGCUAAGGCUCAUACCCCAGGAAGACGUUUUUCCCCCUCAAAAUUUUAUCCUUAUAGUUUUAUAAUUCAAAAAAAAAAAAAAGCUUAGCUAUGAGGUAAAAAUACUAGUCAUGGUUUCUAACAAGGGAAGAGGAGUAUCCUUCUCCCAUCUGCCCUUCAUUAAUUCCCGUUUGGUUUGUCAGGGGCCUCGUGACAAAAAUCUGUUUUUUAAAAAUUGGAUGAAAAUACUCCAAAUGACAUCUUUGGGUAGUGUGCUUGUGGAUGAUUUUUUAAUUCUCUUUCUUCUAUCUAGAUGUUCUAUGAGCAUGUAUUUUUACACUGGGGGGAAAAGAGGGAGUCGUUUAUUGGCAAAGCGGGGAGGGGCUAGAAAGCAGGCAUAUUGCCUUCCACGUAACAGUUUUAAUAAGUGCUGUCUGUGGUGUUUGGCAAGCCUGGUUUAUAUCCAUCUACAAGGUUUGCGAACCCAUGUUGCCGAUUCUUUUCUGCCACAGAACAACUCCCUUGGUACAACCAAAAAGACCCGUGUUUACUUUUCAUUAAAAGGUAAGGAACAUAUUUAG